rnacentral:rRNA from 1 species
UACGUAGGGUGCGAGCGUUAAUCGGAAUUACUGGGCGUAAAGCGUGCGCAGGCGGUUAUUUAAGUCAGGUGUGAAAGCCCUGGGCUUAACCUAGGAAUUGCGCUUGAGACUGGAUAGCUUGGAGUGCGGCAGAGGGAGGUGGAAUUCCACGUGUAGCAGUGAAAUGCGUAGAGAUGUGGAGGAACACCGAUGGCGAAGGCAGCCUCCUGGGCCAGCACUGACGCUCAUGCACGAAAGCGUGGGGA